GAGUUCUUUGAUUGGAAUCUAAUGGAUAAAAAUGGAGAGAUGAAUAACGAUUUCAGAGUUCAAUCAUGUAGAGAAAGGCCAAAAAACAAAAACAAAAGAGAGGUAAUUUAGAUUACCUCAUUUAGGUCUAUCCAACCACAGUGGUGGAAGACGACAACAUCCGACGAGGAGUUUGAGUCAACCUCGGGAGAAAGGGCGCUCCAGGUUAAACUGGGAAGGUUUACAUUCCACUACGGGAAGAAGAUGCGCCCGGAGGCGGCUUAGUAGACCAGCUUAGUAGACCAUCCUCGAGGCUUAGUGCUCGGAGGACGGUAGAAGUUUCACGAGCCAUGAUGCUCGGACAGUAGAAGGUUCUCGAGGCAUAUGAUGCUCGGAUGAAGCCAACUUGGGUACCAAUAUUGCUCGAACCCUGGUGGGAGUCGUGCUCAGCUGAGACUCAACCACCUUGAACAGGUUCGAAUUGGUGUCCUAAUGUCUAUUUUAUUGGUACUUAUAGACUUAUAGACAUCGUUGGGUAAAUGAGCUAACAAAAGCCCACUAAAGAACCCAAUC
rnacentral:lncRNA from 1 species